GAUGAAGAACGUAGCGAAAUGCGAUAAGUAAUGUGAAUUGCAGAAUUCAGUGAAUCAUCGAAUCUUUGAACGCGCAUUGCGCCCCCUGGUAUUCCGGGGGGCAUGCCUGUCCGAGCGUCAUUGCUGCCCUCAAGCACGGCUUGUGUGUUGGGCCUCCGUCCUCCUCCCGGGGGACGGGCCCGAAAGGCAGCGGCGGCACCGCGUCCGGUCCUCGAGCGUAUGGGGCUUCGUCACCCGCUCUUGUAGGCCCGGCCGGCGCUUGCCGACACAUCAAUCUUUUUUCCAGGUUGACCUCGGAUCAGGUAGGGAUACCCGCUGAACUUAAGCAUAUCAAUAAGCGGAGGA
rnacentral:misc_RNA from 1 species